GAUGAACGCUGGCGGUAUGCUUAACACAUGCAAGUCGAACGGAAUCCUUCGGGAUUUAGUGGCGGACGGGUGAGUAACGCGUGAGAAUCUGCCUUCAGGACGGGGACAACAGUUGGAAACGGCUGCUAAAACCCGAUGUGCCCUUGGGUGAAAUAUUUAUAGCCUGAAGAGGAGCUCGCGUCUGAUUAGCUAGUUGGUGCGGUAACGGCGUACCAAGGCGACGAUCAGUAACUGGUCUGAGAGGAUGACCAGUCACACUGGGACUGAGACACGGCCCAGACUCCUACGGGAGGCAGCAGUGGGGAAUUUUCCGCAAUGGGCGCAAGCCUGACGGAGCAAUACCGCGUGAGGGAGGAAGGCUCUUGGGUCGUAAACCUCUUUUAUCAGGGAAGAACACAAUGACGGUACCUGAUGAAUCAGCAUCGGCUAACUCCGUGCCAGCAGCCGCGGUAAUACGGAGGAUGCAAGCGUUAUCCGGAAUUAUUGGGCGUAAAGCGUCCGCAGGUGGUUUUGAAAGUUUGCUGUUAAAUCGCGAGGCUCAACUUCGUAACGGCGGUGAAAACUUCAAGACUAGAGUUUGGUAGGGGUCACGGGAAUUCCCAGUGUAGCGGUGAAAUGCGUAGAUAUUGGGAAGAACACCAGCGGCGAAAGCGCGUGACUGGGCCUGAACUGACACUCAUGGACGAAAGCUAGGGGAGCGAAAGGGAUUAGAUACCCCUGUAGUCCUAGCCGUAAACGAUGACAACUAGGUGUUGCCCGUAUCGACCCGGGCAGUGCCGUAGCCAACGCGUUAAGUUGUCCGCCUGGGGAGUACGCACGCAAGUGUGAAACUCAAAGGAAUUGACGGGGGCCCGCACAAGCGGUGGAGUAUGUGGUUUAAUUCGAUGCAACGCGAAGAACCUUACCAAGGCUUGACAUGUGCAGAAUCCUCUUGAAAGGGAGGAGUGCCUUCGGGAGCUGCAACACAGGUGGUGCAUGGCUGUCGUCAGCUCGUGUCGUGAGAUGUUGGGUUAAGUCCCGCAACGAGCGCAACCCUCGUUUCUAGUUGCCAUCAUUAAGUUGGGCACUUUAGAGAGACUGCCGGUGACAAACCGGAGGAAGGUGGGGAUGACGUCAAGUCAGCAUGCCCCUUACGCCUUGGGCUACACACGUACUACAAUGCUACGGACAAAGAGCCGCAAGUUCGCGAGGACAAGCAAAUCUCAUAAACCGUGGCUCAGUUCAGAUUGCAGGCUGCAACUCGCCUGCAUGAAGGCGGAAUCGCUAGUAAUCGCAGGUCAGCAUACUGCGGUGAAUACGUUCCCGGGCCUUGUACACACCGCCCGUCACACCAUGGGAGUUGGCCACGCCCGAAGUCGUUACUCCAACCGUUCGCGGAGGAGGAUGCCGAAGGCAGGGCUGAUGACUGGGGUGAAGUCGUAACAAGGUAGCCGUACCGGAAGGUGUGGCUGGAUCACCUCCUUA
rnacentral:rRNA from 1 species